AUCCUUCGAUGUCGGCUCUUC
rnacentral:ncRNA from 3 species